rnacentral:rRNA from 1 species
UAAGCGGAGGAAAAGAAACUAACAAGGAUUCCCCUAGUAACUGCGAGUGAAGCGGGAAAAGCUCAAAUUUAAAAUCUGGCGGUCUUUGGCCGUCCGAGUUGUAAUUUAGAGAAGCGUCUUCCGCGCCGGACCGUGCACAAGUCUCCUGGAAUGGAGCGUCAUAGAGGGUGAGAAUCCCGUCUUUGGCACGGAUGCCCGGUGCUUCUGUGAUGCGCUCUCGAAGAGUCGAGUUGUUUGGGAAUGCAGCUCAAAAUGGGUGGUGAACUCCAUCUAAAGCUAAAUAUUGGCGAGAGACCGAUAGCGAACAAGUACCGUGAGGGAAAGAUGAAAAGCACUUUGGAAAGAGAGUGAAACAGUACGUGAAAUUGUUGAAAGGGAAACGCUUGAAGUCAGUCGCGUCGACCGAGACUCAGCCUUGCCUUGGCUUGGUGUACUUCUCGGCCCGACGGGUCAGCGUCGAUUUCGCUCCUCGGAUAAUGGCAAGGGAAAGGUGGCACCUUUACGGGUGUGUUAUAGUCUCCUGUCGCAUGCGAGGGGUGGGAUCGAGGAACUCAGCGCGCACCUUGGUGUCGGGGCUUCUGCCCACGUCACGCGCUUAGGACGCUGGCGUAAUGGCUUUAAACGACC